rnacentral:rRNA from 1 species
UGACGGGCGGUGUGUGCAAGGAGCGAGAACGUAUUCACCGCGGUCUGCUGAUCCGCGAUUACUACCGAUUCCGACUUCAUGAGGGCGAGUUGCAGCCCUCAAUCUGAACUGAGGGAAGUUUUGUAGGAUUGGCUCCCCCUUGCGGGUUGGCGACCUGUUGUACUUCCCAUUGUAGGAUGUGUGUGGCCCCAGGUGUAAGCGUCAUGCUGACUUGACAUCGUCCCCUCCUUCCUCCCUUGAUACUAUCAAGAGCAGUCUCGUGUGAAUAUUCAACACACGAUAGGGGUUGCGUUCGUUAUUCUACUUAAAGAAACGUCUCCAAAAUUGUUAAAAAUUACUUUAACUUCAGACUAUACCUUCAUCUCUGAUAAAUCAGAGAGCUG